rnacentral:rRNA from 1 species
AUUGAACGCUGGCGGCAGGCCUAACACAUGCAAGUCGAGCGGAGCGGCGGACGGGUGAGUAAUGCCUAGGAAUCUGCCUGGUAGUGGGGGAUAACGUCCGGAAACGGGCGCUAAUACCGCAUACUUUCAGUUGAGCCUAGGGCGGAUUGGCUAUAUGGUGGGGUAAAGGCCUACCAAGGCAACGAUCCGUAACUGGUCUGAGAGGAUGAUCAGUCACACUGCAACUUAGACACGGUCCAGACUCCUACGGGAGGCAGCAGUGGGGAAGAUGGGACAAUGGGCGAAAGCCUGAUCCAGCCAUGCCGCGUGUGUGAAGAAGGUCUUCGGAUUGUAAAGCACUUUAAGUUGGGAGGCGUUACCAACAGAAGAAGCACCGGCUAACUUCGUGCCAGCCGCCGCGGUAAUUC